rnacentral:rRNA from 1 species
CCUACGGGAGGCAGCAGUAGGGAAUCUUUCACAAUGGGCGAAAGCCUGAUGGAGCAACGCCGCGUGCAGGAUGAAGGCCUUCGGGUUGUAAACUGCUUUUAUAAGCGAGAAAUAUGAUGGUAACUUAUGAAUAAGGAUCGGCUAACUACGUGCCAGCAGCCGCGGUCAUACGUAGGAUCCGAGCAUUAUCCGGAGUGACUGGGUGUAAAGAGUUGCGUAGGUGGCAUAAUAAGUAGCUAGUGAAAUCUGGUGGCUCAACCAUUCAGACUAUUAGCUAAACUGUUAAGCUCGAGAACGUUAGGGGUAACUGGAAUUUCUAGUGUAGGAGUGAAAUCCGUAGAUAUUAGAAGGAACACCAAUAGCGUAGGCAGGUUACUGGGUCGGUUCUGACACUAAGGCACGAAAGCGUAGGGAGCAAACGGGAUUAGAUACCCCUGUAGUC